rnacentral:rRNA from 1 species
AUGGCCCGUGUUGUUGUUCCGUUGAAUUUUAAUGCGUUCCUUGAGAAAGCAAAGUUGAAAGAUGAUGGUAGAAAUUACACGGACUGGGUCCGUAACUUGAGGAUUAUCCUCAUUGCUGCACAGAAGAAUUACGUCCUAGAAGCACCGCUGGGUGCCAGGCCUGCUGCUGAUGCAACUGACGACAUUAAGAACGUCUGGCAGAGCAAAGCCGAUGACUACUCGAUAGUUCAAUGUGCCAUGCUUUGCGGCUUAGAACCGGGACUUCAACGGCGUUUUGAACAUCAUGGAGCAUAUGAGAUGUUCCAGGAGUUCAAGUUAAUAUUUCAAAAGAAUGCCCGGAUUGAGAGAUAUGAAGUCUCCAAUAAGUUCUACAACUGCAAGAUGGAGGAGAAUAGUUCUGACAGUGAGCAUAUACUCAAAAUGUCUGGGUUUAAUAAUCACAUGAUUCAACUGGGAGUUAAUCUUCCGGAUGAUAGCGUCAUUGACAGAAUUCUCCAAUCACUGCCACCAAGCUACAAGAGCUUCGUGAUGAACUAUAACAUGCAAGGGAUGGAUAAGACAAUUCCCGAGCUCUUCGCAAUGCUAAAGGCUGCGGAGGUAGAAAUCAAAAAGGAGCAUCAAGUGUUGAUGGUCAAUAAGACCACCAGUUUCAAGAAAAAGGGCAAAGGGAAGAAGGGGAACUUCAAGAAGAACAGCAAGCAAGUUGCUGCUCAGGAGAAGAAACCCAAGUCUGGACCUAAGCCUGAGACUGGGUGCUUCUACUGCAAGCAGACUGGUCACUGGAAGCGGAACUGCCCCAAGUAUUUGGCGGAUAAGAAGGAUGGCAAGGUGAACAAAGGGGCUACGGAUUAA